CGUACACAUUUCUUCAGUUGGGAACGUAGAGCUAAUGUUUUUGCUACGAAUAAUACAGUCGAAAAGAAAUACACCCCACCACAUUAUAACUAUAGUUUCAGAACGGCUAGUACAUUCUUCAGCGCCAUCUUGUGGUGUGGAUCAACAUCGAAUGCUGUUUUUUUCUUUGGGUGUGCCCUUGCUUGGCGUGAAUUUGCGCGGGCUUGAGUUCUAAACAUUUACCGGCUUUUCAACUUUCUUUAGUCUUCAGUCGCUGAGAGACCAUUGUUGAGUUUAUUUGUCUUCAGUCAAGUCAAAAUGGGUUUCCAAAACCUGGUAGUAGUUGCCAGCAAGGCACUUUUAAUUAUUGUCCGGGAACGGUUCUUCUGCCAAGGAUUCUUUCCAAUGAAUUACCACCAAUUCAUAAGAGGUUUAGGACUGGUAAUCCAGCGCUUUGGCGAUAUGAUUCUCGAUUUGGGCUGUCUGUUCCUGUACCAGUUCGUCUACUUCCUGGAGGAUAUGGAGGCAUUCAUAAACCGUCUACUUUAUGAGUUAUACUUUGAAUUCCUCAGACUGAUUCCCACGUGGAUUCCUAAUAGGUACUCGUAAUGGAAGUGUUUGAUCACAAUGGCCGCUAUUUCAAUAUUCCUGACAAUUUUAAGUUCCUAAGCAUUUUACCUGAAUUUUAAUAAGUAAUUCACAACUAUGUAAUGAAUUGUUAAUUCUCAACUUUUUAAUAAAUGUGAAGUUUUUAUUUUCA